rnacentral:misc_RNA from 1 species
UAAAAAAAUUGUUAAGUCUUAUGUUCUCAGCUGGUACGAUUGUUUACUGAGGCGAUUGAAGAUGGAAACCAAAAUGAAGCAGAAAGCAUAGCAAUGAAUUCUGGUUUAAGCCUUAAUCCUUGAAGAUUCCCCCACAGCAUGCUCCAUCCUUGUAUACCACUCUCCUAUUCGGGUGUGCUCCACCAUAUCUCUACCAGACCUCAGAUACCGGAUGGGUCUUAAUACUCCAAAAACAGCAAGGUCUGCCAAAUUCGGCUUUGAUCCUCCAAGAAACUCUCGGCCAUUUAAAGCAUCCACCCAUGUCUCUGCAGCUUCAUACAAGGCAGCACGCUCAUCAGUAAUGUUAUAUUUCUUCUUCAAAUUCUUGGACACAAAAUACAUUGCUGCAGCUCCAGCAUACUUCACUGUAAUUUUUUCUGUGAAGCUAAAAUUUCCAUUGCUUGUGAUAUAGUCAAAGGAUUCAAGAGCCUCAGAAGUAUUGCGGUAUAUGUUUGGAGAUAGGACAUGUACCAAGUGAUUAUCCACCCACCGACGCCACUUUUCCUCUUCACCACCAUUACUUGAGGCCAAAUCAAUCUUUUUCUUAGAUACCUUGCUGCCCAACUUAUCAAUGAUGACUGAUGAAUCAACAAGCUGUUCACCAUCCACCAUCAG